AGCAAGAGGAAGGUUUCCAGCAUAUUGGAUAGAUUUUUGGUGGAGGAUGUAUGAUGCAGAAACUGAAGUGGAGAAAGAUGAACUGACUUACCCAAGCAAGUAAACAUGGGAGACAGCAUCUGAAUUCAAGUUAUUCUGACCAAUGCUUUAUGAUUGAAAAAAAAUUUUUUUUUACCACAAACUACAACCUUGUGAGCCUCCGUCCAUCCCUGCAUUUGCCAGCCUAGGAUAACAGCUUGCUUUUUCUUUGUGGUGGACGUGUGCUCCUCCUCCUUCUUCCAAAUGAACCACUGAGAAUAGCAUUGGAGAGCAGCCAGCCCCACACAGGUCCUCAAAAGGAAAUGAGUCUCUUGGUUUGGGACACAAUUGAAAAUCCAACUGCAUUUUCAUGGAUUCAAGUAGAACAUUUUAUCCAAAAAGAAAUGGCUAAGAAAAUGGACAUGAUUAUCCAUCUGGUUCCAGAUAAGCUUUUAUAAAAGUCGUCAUGCUUGUCUUGUGAAGGACCCUCAGAGCCAAGGACUGACCCGACGAAACCACAGCCAGGUUGGAAGAAUAUUGUGAUUGCUGAAGGGGAAGGGCCCCAAGGACACAAGGCUGUGAUUGUGGUCGAGAUUGCUCUAGAAGAAUCUCAACAACUACCAUCCACUUGCCACUUUGCUAAGUGUCUCAUUUAAAAAUAUGAUCAAAUGAAAGAUGAAAUCAUCGAAAUCCCUCCAUAUGAACAGUACUUGAAGGACUGAGGCCAUGGGGCAGGAGCAUGAAUUGCUGCUGCUCUUCAUCUAGGUUCCUGCCCUGCUCUCUGGACCUGGACUCAAUCACGCUGAGAUAUAAGGAACUCACGCACUCUCUAAUCUUACUGCCUUCCAGGAGGUACCAAUAAGACAGCAGGAUGCUAAUCAAAAACAUUUGAACUUUAGAAUUAUACAGUGGAGAUUUACUCUUGCCUUACUCUGUAGACUAAGUUCUAAAUGCGGAGCCUAUUUGCACAUCUUUAAAUACUGAACCUAUUCACAACUAGCUCCAGCUUCAAAGAAAAAAAAAAGAAAAAAAGGGGCCCUUUCUCUUACUUACCAUCACUGUCUGUUAACAACAGUUAUUCCAGCAUUUUAAUAAGCUGAGAGCACAUGGCAUUGCCAUGAUUUAAUCAGUCAAAAAUGUUGCAAAGGAAAUUAGAAUUUGCUCAUUGAUUCUUCAAAAUUCAAACUUGUUCCAUAAAAUGGAUAAAAUAUUUAGUGGCUAGAGUUAGCACAUCCUGAAAAAAUUUGAGAAUAUAGUCCUAGUCUUACUCUUUCAAUUAAUGUGUAUUUAAUUAAAGAUUAAACUGUAAGGUUGGUUAUAACCCUAUAAACUU